rnacentral:lncRNA from 1 species
CGGGCUCACAACCCCUUUCCAUUAAUUUUGCAAUCAACGGAAAUACAUCAGUCUUUAUCCAAGUUCAUCACCCAACUAAAAACAGAUAAAACCUUUGCGCGAAAUGAGACUGAAAAGGGGAGAGCGAGUUGGCGCAUCACCAGGAAACCCACCGCAUGAUGAUCCUGGAACGAACCACCAGCCAUGGGGCGAAAACCUGAUGACACUUACAAGCCACUGCUCAAAACACAAAGUACCAAAAGCGACCCAGGAUGAAACAACUAGCAGACUCCAGCGACUAAGUGAAACAGCCGCGAUACAAAAUACCAGCGGGCAUCAAACCCCAGUGGGAAGCGAAGUUAAAACUGCCAGGCGCUGAUCGCACCUAACCAAUCUGCAUACCAUCUCUGUCUCCCAAGAGCAGCCUGUCUCGAGGGAAGGAUCUGUCCGCCAGCGCCGCAGCAGCAUGCGCCAAUCUCUUCACACCCGCCUGGAGCUUCACCCUAUCCUCUUCCUUCAGCAAACCUGCCCAAUACAUCAUAAAAGAGCAUGCCGUGAAAACAGCCUCCAGAGGAGAUCGAACGACAUGUUUAUCAAACGUAACUUUAUUGCGGAGAAUCCAAAUCCCCCAACAUAUCGCAGCAAUUAUCAUCAUAUAUACAUGCUUUCCACCCGGAAAGAAUUUAUAAAGACAAGACAAACUUUGCCAAAGGGAGCGAGGGCAGCAAGAUGCCCCUGCCGUCAUGCCUAGCGUCCCCCAAACUGAACGAGCGAGCGAGCACGAAAAAAACAAAUGGUUUGCCGUUUCAACAUUAGUAUAGAAGGAACAAAUGGGAUUUCCAGGCCAAUUCCUGGCACGCAUGUUAUCACGGGUAAGGAUGGCAUUUUGAAAUAAUUGCCAAAGGAAGAUCUUAAUCUUCAGCGGGAUAGGUGCUUUCCACACCAUUUUAUAGUUAGGACCUGACAGGUUUCUCUCCAGCCACUCGUACAAGGAUUUAGUGGUAAAAUUUCCUUUACCACCAAGGGUCCAAGAAAUCUUAUCUGGGGAUUCAUUCAACGUCAGCUUUUUAGCUUCCAUGACCAUCCAAGCCCAUUGAUCGGCCAACGCCCCAACCAAUCUGCGUCUGAAGCCAAUCUCAUAGUUACUUGCAGCCCAGGAUGCAACAGUGCAAUCCUGAUCCUGGCAGACACUGAACAAGUCAGGAAAAUGAUCUUUCAGUACAAUGUUUUCGACCCACGGGUCAUACCAGACCCUAGUAAGGUUCCCGCUCUCAAUAUUAACUUUUCUACCAGCCAUAUACGAAUCUUUGACUUUCAUAAUGGCUUUCCAGCAGGGGGAGUCCGAAAAGCGACUCCGGAUGUUAGCUACUGUUUUGUUCCUGAAGUAUCUAGCUCGCACAAUACGUUGCCACAAACCAUCACUCGUUUCCAGUUUCCACCACCACUUAGCGAGCAGGGCAAUAUUUUGUUUAUGAAGAUCUUUAAUCCCUAAACCCCCAAUCCUCCUGGAUAUGCAAACUCUCGUCCACUUAACCAUAUGAUAACCAUGUUUCUUAUUCUUUCUCCUCCAAAAGAAACGUCUGCGAUGUUUAUCCAGUUUCUCAAUAAAAGUUUUAUCGAAGAGGAACAUCGACAUGUGGAAGGAGGGGAUCCCAUCCAAACUGGAUCCCAACAAAGUCAGUCUGGCUCCAGAUGAUGCCGCAUAAGCCACCCAGGCAUCGAGUUUUUUGAUCAUUUUACCAUCAAGGAAGUCCAGAUCAACAUUCCUGAGAGUGGAAUAGGUAACAGGGACCCCCAGAUAUUUCAUAGGCAGAGUCCCCACUUGGCAUCCAAACAUGUUCGCAUAGACCAAGUCAGUAUCAUUAUCACCCCCAAUACUGAAAUUUCCUCUUCUCAAAGUUGAUCUUAAGUCCUGACAUAAGCUCAAAGAGAUAUAAUAAGAGUUUGAUGUUGACAGCUUUGUCAACAUCAUGUUCAAAGCACAGCACCGUAUCAUCAGCAUAUUGCAAGAUGCCCACCCCAUCCUCAAUAAGAUCAGCAGCUAAACCUUUGACAAGGCCAUUCUUCUGAGCUCCCAGCACCAUUUUCGUCAGGCAAUCAGUUGCUAGAUUGAACAGGAAGGGGGAGUGAGGAACCCCUUGUCUCACUCCCUUAGCACUUUGAAUAUAGGGCCCCACCUCAUCAUUGAUCUUGACACUAACCGUGCCAUUUUUUAGGAUCUGAGAGACCCAGCCACACCACUUGGGAUUAAACCCGCGUUUUUCAUGACAGUCAAGCAAAAAAUCCCAGUUUACUUUGUCAUAAGCCUUCUCAAAAUCGAGCUUAAGAACUACUCCAACUUGUUUUUUGACAUGAGUGUAGUGCAUAAUCUCAUGCAAAGAUAGUAUACCAUCCACAAUAUGCCUCCCUUUAAUAAAGGCAUUCUGCUAGAUACUGAACAGCUUAUGGGCAUAUCUGCUAGCCCUAAUAUCCAUGACUUUGGUGAGUAGCUUAUACGGGCAUCGCAGCAGACAAAUGGGCCUAUACUGCUAGAUUCUACUCGCAUUGCUCGACUUAGGCAGCAAAGUAAUGAUGCCAUAGUUAAGUUGUUGCACAUCUAACUUGUCAGCGUGAAACCACUCAAAUAAACAGAACAGAUCCUGAGCUACAACACCCCAUCAGUGUUGAUAGAAUUCAACAGGGAUAUCAUCAGGUCCGGGGGCACGGUUAGAUCUCAUCUCAAAUAAAGCAUGUUUAAUCUCCUCCAAAGAGAAAGGUCGAGUCAAGUCCUCGUUCUCAUCCAGGGAAAUCAUCUCGUCCUGAGACCAUAAAGUUGCAUCGAUCUGGCAAAUAUUGCCAGGAGCUGGUCCAAAUAGGUCUCUGUAAUACUCAGUAGCAUGUGCAAGUAGGUUUUUGGUCCCUUCCACAACAGUGGACCCGCAUUCCAGGGAAACCAUGGAAUUUUUCCUACGACGACCAUUAGCCACUUUAUGGAAAAAGUCAGUGUUAUUUUCUCCUUUCAAAAGCCAUCUCUCAUUAGAAAACUGGUGCCAAUGGAGCUCUUCCUCAACAUACAUAUUGUUGAGCUCCACUAAAAUAUCCAACUUCCUUUUGUAUGCAUCCCCACACAACCCAUCAUCCUCCAAUUUUUCGAGCUCCUGAAGUUCGAGCUUGAUAAUUUCUUUCUGAUCCUAUUGUGCCCAAACAGAUUGGACCCCCAACCUUUAAAAAAAUUCUUAAUCCUUUUCAGUUUAAUGUUUAAGAUGUCAAUAGGGUUUAAAGUGUAUACCGGCAUAGACCAGAUUUCAGUAACCAAAGGAAGGAAAUCUGGGUUCUUGAGCCAGGCAUUAUCAAACCUAAAGCACAUGUUGCCUGGUGCUCUGGAUGGGGCUCUCCCACCAUCCAGCACCAAAGGAUUGUGGUCAGAUUUGUCCUUGACCAGUUUAUGAACAUUAGCAAGAGGGUAUAAAUCCUCCCAAUCAGGGGACAUAAGGACCCUAUCAAGUUUUUCCAACGUAGGGUUAUCUUGUUUGUUGGACCAAGUGUAACGACCACCAGUCAUAUGAAUCUCCCUCAAUCCAAGUAAGUGAAUAACAGAGUUAAACACAUCUGAAAAAUGGGACAGGGGCAUUUUUUUUGUUUUUCUCUCCACUAUGUCGAAUGAUAUUAAAAUCACCACCGACCAAAUAUGGCAUGCUAACCCUGUGACACAUAGCUGACAGUUCAGCAAUGAAUUCGGGCUUCCGCUCAUCAUGCGCAGUGCCAUAUACAGUCAUCAAGGACCAGUUACAGUUUUUGUUCUUAUCGAACAAGUCCAACUGCAGUAUGAAUUUACCACACAUGGUUGUAAUGAUAUCAAAGUUAUCCUUCUUGAUACCACAGAGAAUACCUUCGGAUUUCCCCCUCGAAGGAGCCCAUUCCCAUCGAAACCUAUCGUGGGGGUCAAUCUUUCUAAAAAAGGCAGAGUCAUAGGAUUCUUUCAUAGUCUCUUGAAGCCCAAUAAAGUCAAGAUUAUUGCCAUUAAUCAUGUCAAUAAUGCAGGUAGACAUACCUCUUUUACCCACACUCCUACAAUUCCAAAAACCCCCUUUCAUUUAUAUUGAUCAGGUUUAUCCCUCACUCUGGUAGGUCUGCCAGGAUCCAUGGCAGCCCUACCCACCCCCUUUUUUGCUGACUUCUAGGCAUGGGUGUGCUGGACUUAUUAGGAGAAAACGCCACCACCAUUUUUUUGUGUGGAUUUUUCUUUUUCCUAUUUUUAGACUGAACCAGGGUAAAAGGUUCUUCGACCUCUCCAUUAUCAUCGUCCCAAUCUAAGGAGAGGGGCACAUCAUUUCCUAACCCAUCGCUGAUGGUAAUAUUCUGGGGAUUAGAAUUUAAAUUCUUUUCUUGUAACAUAUUUCUAGAAAGCUCUAAUUCACGCAAGAUAUCAAUAGUAUCAAAGUCAUCAUCAGGGAUUUGCACUCCCAUCAGGGACGCACGCAAUAUAAUAGCAGAAUCAAACAAAGCAAAGAACUGAUUUUUUGAAUUGGGCAUUUUCGUACCUUCCAAGUUGCGCUUCCUCAUCCUGUUGGCAGCCAUGUCACC